UCCAUCGAUCUAUUCUCUCCUCCUCACAAACGCAGCAGCAACCCUUAAAAAAAACGCAGCAGCAGAGCAACAGCCUCGCCGGAUUCUGUCUCUCCGCCCCUUGCCAGAAUCCGCCGUGGCCGCCCCUCGCCGGACCCCCACCGCAGUCGCCCCUCGCCGGACACCACGGCAGCCGAGCUUCCCCAGCCUCCUCCUGCUCUCCGCCCCUCGCCUGACUUCGCCACGGCCGCCCCCUCGCAGUACUCUGCCCCUCGCCCGACUCCGCCGUGGCUGCCCCUCGCCGGACCCCUCUGCGGUCGCCCGCCGCCGGACCCUGCGGCAGUCGAGCUCCCCAGCCUCCUCCUCCUCGCCGCCCCCUCAUCGGACUCCGCCAUGGCCGCCCCCUGCCGGACUCCGCCACGCCCGAGCCUCCUCCUCUCUACCGCGAGCGCGAAAGCCCCAGGCUCCUCCUCUCCAACCCUCGCCGGGCUCCGCCACGGCCGCCCCUCGCCGGACAUCGCCGGACCCUGCCGCACCCGAGCAUCCAGCCUCCUCUCUGCAAGAACGACCUCAGGCCGCCGGACGUGCUCACCAUAGGACCGCCGGCCGCCAUCUUGCCGCUGGACACACUCACCUGCAGCCUGAACGACCACGUCACUGCAGCACCGAGGAGUACAACCGUAUUUUUUUAAUUAACUAAAAUUUCUUUGCCGUCCGUUGACUAUGAGGCAGACGGCAAAGGCCGCCGUUAGCCGCCUAACGGACUAACGCUGGCCGACGUCCAGUAUUUUUGCCGUCCGCCCUCUUUGCCGUCCACCGCUGUAGGUAAAGGACUCUUUGCCGUCCGCCGUAAAAAGCAGACGGCAAAGGACCUGUUUACCGUAGCCUACUUUGCCGGAGCCUUUUGCCGUCCGCGGCUGACGGCAAAGGCCUUUGCCGUCCGCCGUUCGAGCCUUUGCCGUCCGCCGGCAAAAUAGCUGUUUCCUGUAGUGAAUAAGUAAAGUUAAAAAGGAAUAUGAGAUUUGAAAACAAAAUAAAUAACUAUUUUUUAUAAUUUGCAAAAAGUGUCUGUUAUCGUGUUAUCUAUCAAAUAAAUUGGUGCAAGUCUGAUUGAAUUAAUGGAUUGUAGCUUGGCAAACUUUUACAGAAAAUGAACUAACAAGGCUAUUCUCAAUUCCUUUACAUAAGUUAGAGCUGCAAAUUGAAUGUUCAGGGAAGCCAAGAUCGGCUGAUAUGAAAUUCUACCUCCUUUCAAGAUACUGCCAUGGUAAGCUGAAGUGUAACCAAACAUGUAGGUAAUGUGAUUUUAUAAUUUUCAUGUGCUGAGAGAUUUUGGUGAACUGGAGAUUGGUUGUUUUGGGGCAUGUGGUUCGUGAUUUGGGAAUUUUGGAAGGAUUUAUAAUAGUUGCUCAUUCCUGCUCAUCCAUGUUUGGCUCUUCUGAUACCUGGCACUCAUCUUAGAAUUAUGUUUUACGAGGGAAAUGUUAGGCUAGAAAGUUUCACAAUAUUCUCUCUCUUUACUUUAACUUGGUAGGCAAUGGUGGAAAGCUGCAGAGGACACAUCCUGAAUUGGUGUUCCUUGCAAUGCCCUGGUGACCGGCGCCAGCAACACGCUACGGCCUGCCGGUCGCACUGAACGGUGGCGUGAACCAUCUGAGGGGAUGAGAUGAGUUCUGCAUGUCUUCUCUUUUUGUAAAGUGUCUACCUGAGUUCUUUACAUGUUCAGGAGUAGCGGCGCAGAAGACGACGACGUGGCAGAGGAUGGAUUGGAUUGUCCCUGUCGGCGCGGCGGCAGCUGGGUUGUGUGCGCAGCUGGCAUCAAGGAGGAAGAACCGCCGCUCACGACCUCGCACUACGACGGCGCAUCUUCUACUAUCGCACCGGUGGAGUCCUAGAUCUGGGAUCGUGAGAAGCAUGUGUACAUCUAGAGAUUUAUUUGAUUUGAAAUGUAUUAUGUUAGCUUAGCCUACUAUGUUGAUGUUGGUAUAUCAGGCUUCUAAAUUUGAGAAACAUGGUUGUUGCAAAUGGCAACGUUGACAUGGAGGAAGGAACCCUUGAAAUUGGGAUCGGUAUGCAUUUUCAUUUUUAUCUCCAUAUGAGUAUCUUCACGUCAGUCAUAAUCCGGUGAAGAUAGUGCACACCUUCUAACUGUCCUCUUGGUAUUGCACAGUACAGGACAGUUUCUGGACUUGCCGCUCCUCUUGUGAUUCUUGAUAAAGUGAAUUUGCAGGCAUUACUUCCAAGUCACAACCUGCAUAUUUUAGAAAUUCGUUUGAUAAAUAUUUGAAUAUGGUGCUUUUCUAAGGAGGCAUACAAUUUAUCUCUUGUGGAAUGAGUAUUGAUUUGCUGAUACCAUGUAGUUAGCAUACAUAGGAGGUUGCUUGGCUCUCAAAGGAAUUUUACUACUCCCUCCGUCCCAUAAUAUAAGAGCGUUUUUCACACUAGUGUAGUGUCAAAAACGCUCUUAUAUUAUGGGACGGAGGGAGUAUCUUAUAAAAAGUUGAUGUAUUGGAAUAAAGUGCUUCAUUGGAAGUUCGUAAGCAAAAGUUUGGUGCUGCUUCAUUGGAUUUCAAUGAGGUCAUGAUAUAGUGCCAGACUACUAGCUUUAGUACUACUUAUUUCAUGAAUGCUUCUACAUAUUUCUAGGAUGUGCAUUUCUACGUCGGAUUGCUGUAUUUUUUCUCAAACCCUGUUGGACCUGUAUCAUUUGUGUUGUAUGUCAUGGAUCCAAAACCAGCAUUUUGGACAUCCAUUGGACAAUAUUGUAUACUCCGACUUCAAUUCCAUGAGAGUACUGAACUUGGCAUUGAGAGUCAUCCCAUAGAACUGAAGUUAGCAUUUAUCUCCGAAACCAGAACAUAUAGCUCACUACUGAAGUAGCUACCAAAAUUUUGCAAGGCGUUGGACCUUUUCACAUGAGAACAUAUAGCUCACUACUGAAGUAGCUACCCAAAUCGUUUCUUCUUUAUCGGUGUACGGUUUGGCCAAUUCCGGCGAGACGUGGCUCGAGCGGAUGUCGUUGAUGCGACAAUGAGAAGAUCCUCUCUUUGAGCCCUCUCCCUCUCGUUUUGCCUCUCAUGCUUCCUGCUUCUUUGUUCUCAAGGGAGGUUCACUGGUUCUUUUGCAGGCUUGUGUUAUUAUCUGUCUCGUUUAAAUGUCCAAAGGUGCAUGGGAAUUUCUAUGGAAUGUCACUCCAGGAGGGUCAGACAUAGCUCAAAGUUGAGUGAUAUCCUCAUGCCCAACAAGGAUUGAUCCUGAUUCAAUAUGGAAAGUUUUGCUUUCGCGCGAGUGUCAUAUACACGUAUUGUUUCUUGGGCAUUGAAAGCUAAGGAAAACACUUGUUUGAUUGGUUCAGUGCAGCUUGCCAUUUGUUGAGAUUUGUUACUUCAAUUAGAAAACUUCAGUCUGAGUCUGCACCAUAAUUCCUAACAAUUCAAUGAAGGUCUGGCUUUGUUUUAUCCUUUUCUAUUGCUUCAUAUUCAAUGAAUUCCAAGAUAUAUUAGAUAACUAUUAAUAGUGGUAGAUGUUGCAGGUUGCAGAUACUAAAUUUAGGAUUCAUUUAGUAUCCAAUGCUUUCAUUUUCACACCCGUACUGAAUUAUCCAAUACUAAAUUUAGGGUUCAUUUUCCAGCUACACCAUGUAUUAGAUUUUUCACUUCCUGCCAAUAAGUGUCCUGAACUCUUUUGCUUGGUCAUGAGAAGAGCAGUGGGUGAAAAUGUUGGCUUAGAAAUUUAGAACAUCAAAGAAGUGGUCAGGGGUCUGGUCAUGGUAAGUAAAAACUUUACAGUGUCAGUCCGGCUUAUCAAUUGGACUUGAUUUAAUGAUAUGAACAAUGAUGCAUACACAUCUCCAGAAUAUAGUUUCUUCAAUGCAGCGUAUGUGUCUUUUACUCUAGCUUUGUAUGCUAAUACUUUCACAAAAAUGUAUGGCCAUCUUUGCAUUGUACAUUAUAGUGUCUGAUUAUUUGUCAGCCAGGUUGAGAGCAUAAAUGCAUCAUUAGUCCAUCGAUCCAAUGUGAUUGCUUAGAUCCAAUUGGGUAUUACCUUGCUGCUAGCUUUAUACUAUCUAGAGCAUGUUCUUUUUCUCUUUGUUUAAUUGAAUAGCAUAAUACUAUUGUUAUCAAGAAAUAUGAACAUGCGACAUUGUAGAUCUAUGUCUUCCAUGUUCCCAUCCUGAUGUUCUUUUGGUAUUCUUCCAUUUACAGCAAUCUACUUGUUGGGUGAUAAUCUUGACAAUCAUAAAACUUUUCAGGUUUUCCUAUCUGUUGGUGGUGAUUCUAGCACAGGUAAUGAUGCGGCAAAAAUGAUGGGAGCGACUCUUCUCGAGAUAUCUUGCAAGUUUGUGCCCGCUUUCCAGAAUCUGAGAAACAACAACUCAUGAGUAUUUUGUUGUGUUUAUUGUCGUAGCGGACACCACAAUUCUAAAGCUAUUAGGACUCGGGAGAUGAGUGCCUGAUGGUACUGUUGCUGCAUGUCGGGCAACCGUAUCAGUAUGGAUCUGCCAUUUUGGGCUACAGCUAAGCUUUGCUACUGCUCUAAAUUGCAGUCUUUUGACCAACCGUGUUACCAAUGAUCAAUAAUUUUUCCCUUCCAGCAUUGCCUUAUUGUCACUACUCCGGCUGCACUGCAAGGUUUGGUUGUCAAUUUUGUGGUAGUCAUUUUCCAACAGUGAGUAGUGCUUUCUUUUCAGAAAUGAGUAGUGUGUUGUUUGUGUGGGUGCACAUUAUUUAGAAUCUUAUUGUCGUUGUUUUCAAAAUAAGUAUCAUGGUGCCUGCCCACAUAUUCAGCUCAUAAUUUGCCGUUGCUUUCCACUUUUGUUUAUACGGAUGUUUGUUCGUGCAAUGCAUUAGAAUUAAUCAUGAAAUAAUUUGCUUAAGAUUUAGUUUACCAUUCGAUAUUAAGAUGAUGACUGACAUAGGUAGACAACAAGCGAACAACGACAUCAGGUUGUCGGCAGCAGUGACAUCAACGAAUGGAGGGUACGCCUGCGGCAACUCCGGCGGGAUGCUAGAGCUCGUGGCGACGUCUACGACGGUGUGCCUGGGCACCAUGCAGGAUGGAUCUGGCACCGCGACCGAGAUGACAAGGCAGAGGACCAGCUGAGGGGGGCUCGACAAGGCGGCGCUGUCAGCCAUGCCGGUGUUCAGAUUCAAGACGGGGCCGUGAUGGGUUGUUUCUUGGUAGCUGCUUCAUACAUGUUGCUUCAUUGUUUUGCCUUACUACAAGCGUGGGUGCCUACCGCUGCUUGAUGGUUAGCCAUCGAGUUCAUAAUUUUCUGUGUUAGCUUGCUUCAAUUGGAACCGAUAUUAUUUUGACAUGAUUUGUAGAUCGUAAUACUACUUGCCUUUUGCAUAUGCACAUGUUAAUGCCUAUAA